rnacentral:rRNA from 1 species
UACGAAGGGGGCUAGCGUUGCUCGGAAUUACUGGGCGUAAAGCGCACGUAGGCGGUCUUUUAAGUCGGGGGUGAAAUCCUGGAGCUCAACUCCAGAACUGCCUUCGAUACUGGCGAUCUCGAGUUCGGGAGAGGUGAGUGGAACUGCGAGUGUAGAGGUGAAAUUCGUAGAUAUUCGCAAGAACACCAGUGGCGAAGGCGGCUCACUGGCCCGAUACUGACGCUGAGGUGCGAAAGCGUGGGGAGCAAACAGG